UCCCUGUGUCUGUUAGACUGGCCUUGGCAGCAAAGAAAGACCAUAUGGUGCCCAUCCAUAUGGAUAGGCUGGCUGGAUUUUAGAAUCUUAUUCCCUACUGAUGUUCCUGUUGUGUGAACAGAAUAACUUCUAUUUAAGAGUAAAACAUGUGGGAUUCCAGCCUUGCAUAUUGUAUCAGUUAGAAAAUGUGCUCAAUUGUGAGGAGCAGAGACCUGAAAACAGGGCUUAAACACACUAGAUGUGGUACAGGGGCUCUGCAACCUCAUUGUAGACUUUCCAUCCCUCUUCUCUGCCAUCUUUGAGUUGUGACUUCUUUCCUCAAGGCUGCCUCAUACAUAUAAAGUGGCUACUAGAACUCCAAACGGCAUUUUCUCAUUCCUAGUAGGAAGAAGGGAAAACACAAGGAACAAAAGGAGCAUGCCAGCUGAGUCAUUGCCUAUUUUUAAGGAGCAUUACCAGAAGACACACCCAACAACUUAUGUUUGCAUCUCAUUGGCUAGGAUUUAGUCUUAUGCACCUCUCAUCUUCUAGGAAUCCUGGGAAAUCUAGUAUAUUUUAGGAAAAGAAGAUUUGGUGUCUACACUUCUAGUACUCCAGUUCAGCUUUCGCUGACCGUGACUCUAUUUGGCUAACUGCACAGAUAUUGUUAUAUACCCAUUCUGCUGAUGAAGAAACCAAGACUCAGAGUUUACUUAACCAAGAUCACAAUCAUACAUUUUGGACUAAAUGUCUUUGGAGAAGCCGCAUUGAAGAUAUUGCAACUGGAAGACCCUUCUGAAAUAGAAAAUCUCUAUUUAUCCUAAGAUUUGCUGAUGGCUCACCAGUUAUCAGCUACUCUGCUAAAUGAAUAGAAUGAACCAGACACAGUCUUCACGCUGUGGCAGCUCUCAGUCUAAUGUAAGGGAGGCAAGCAAGUGAACCAGACAGAACAAUACUGUGUGAUGAGCAUCAAACAUGUUGAAAGAACAUGACAGAAGCAUAUGCUCAUUCAAAGGAGGAGCCGGAGCUUCUAGUAAAAGGUGAUAUCUAAACUGAAACUGUAAGCACAUCACGGAACAAAGAGGGGGAAGGAGGUUCUAGGCAAAGGGAAAAGCAUACUGCCAGCGUCAAGACAUAAGAGGAAAACCAUGUAUUGGGAAACUGCAAACAGUUCAGUGAGGGAGGAGUCUAGAGUGCUCUGUAGGCAGGGACGGGACUUUGGAGUGCUUAGGGUACCAUGCUAACUCAGUCUUUACAGGCAACUUUGGAAUACCAAUAAUGGUGGUACUUCUGUGUGCUUGUCCAUUGCCAAAUGUUCGGACUUAUCCAAGCUCUCAUGAUGAAGCUAUUACU